GUUCCUGAUGGUGAUCAAAUAACAAUAUUUAGAGCUUUAAUCGGGUCAGAACUCUCUUGAUCCACCACAAAUCAAGAGGACUGUACCGCUGAGCCUGGAGUCAGGCCAUCUUCCUCGCAUGAGAGGCAAGUCUGGCUUUUCCCAUCUUGAUAGUCUUUCCCCAUCAGCAACCCAAGCCCCACCAUUCCCUAUAGAGUCAGAAAGACCCAGACUAUAUAACCUCCAUUCCCAAGUCGCAUAGUCUUGCUUGUUCCUUCCAAUGUCAGUUGGGAUUCCCCACCACACACUCGCAGUAACUCAUGCUGUUCCUGAGGGACUCUUGUGUUUCCCUGAAAUGACUCUCUUCUAGAAUCAGGUUCUGCCUGCCCCAAGGUGGCUGGCCUUCCCACUUCCGUCUUCCCCCUUGCCCAUGGCUCCCUGUUUAGUCCCCAUAGAUCCAAUGCUCUGCCCACUUCCCUGUCAUGGUCACCUUUAGGAGAAAGCAUGCUGACUGAGUCACCCAAGCCUGAUGCUGGUUUUGGCUCUGGACUCGGAAUGCAGCCUGCUCGCAGUGCCCGGAUGCCCUCCCUCACACACGCACCCACCCUU
rnacentral:lncRNA from 1 species